AGAGUUUGAUCAUGGCUCAGGGCUAACGCUGGCGGCGUGUCUUAGCCAUGCAAGUCGAGCGGUCCUAUGGGGCGACCUAUAGGAUAGCGGCGGACGGCGGAGUAACACGUAGCUAACCUACCCUCCGGACGGGGAUAACCAUUCGAAAGGGUGGCUAAUACCCGAUGGAGUCAUCCGCAAGGGUGAUGAAAGGUGGGCCUCUGUUUACAAGCUCAUGCCGGGGGAGGGGGCUGCGGCCUAUCAGGUAGUUGGUGGGGUAAAGGCCCACCAAGCCUAUGACGGGUAGCCGGCCUGAGAGGGUGACCGGCCCGAGGGACACUGAGACACGGGUCCCACUCCUACGGGAGGCAGCAGGCUAGAAAUUUGGGCAAUGGGGGAAACCCUGACCCAGUGACGCCGCGUGCAGGAAGGAGCCCUUCGGGGUGUAAACUGCUGUCGUGCGGGGCGAAGGGUUUAUAGGCGAAUAGUCUAUAGACUUGACGGUACCGCAGGAGGAAGCCCAGGCUAACCUCGUGCCAGCAGCCGCGGUAAUACGGGGUGGGCGAGCGUUGCCCGGAAUUACUGGGUUUAAAGGGGGUGUAGGCGGUCUGGAUAGUCAGGUGUGUAAUCCAAUCGCUCAACGAUUGGACUGCAUCUGAUACUUUCAGGCUAGAGGGCGGUAGAGGAGAGCGGAACUCCCGGUGUAGCGGUGAAAUGCGUAGAUAUCGGGAGGAACGCCGGUGGCGAAGGCGGCUCUCUGGGCCGUUCCUGACGCUGAGGCCCGAAAGCUGGGGGAGCGAAAGGGAUUAGAUACCCCUGUAGUCCCAGCCGUAAACGAUGGGCACUAGGUGUGCCUCUAUAUAGGGGUGUGCCGACGGGAAACCAUUAAGUGCCCCACCUGGGGAGUACGCCCGCAGGUGAAACUCAAAGGAAUUGACGG
rnacentral:rRNA from 1 species